rnacentral:lncRNA from 1 species
AUGUUCAGCCUGUUGAUGUUAGGAAACCACCCAUUGGUGCCGUCAGCAGUGUUUGCUAAUCCCUCCCUCCCGCCUUACGCUCCAGACUCUCCCACAGACACCUCGGUGCUGGUCAGUCCCGCUGACCCGCUGUCCGUCGGCAGCCCGGUCAACUUGACCUGCUGCUGCAGAGCAAACCCUCCUGCUCGCGUUUUCUGGCUGACGGUCAGCGAGGGCAGAGCCGAGCAGAUCGGCGCUGACACACGGGUUCGUGGCUUCACAGCGAGUGACAGGGACAGAGACAGACUCUUCUACUGCGGAUGCGCAAACCACCUGGGCCUCCAGCUCUCGGCCGGACGUCAGCUGAUGGUCAAAGGUCAUGUGCUGGGCCCAUUUACUGCUCCUCUCAUAUGUAAAAUCCUGGGAAUUGUGGUGCUGGUCAGUGCUGUGGUCACCUUACACUGCUGCUCUGGAUUCUUCACCAAACCAGUCAAGAGCGCCACAGAAAAUGACUACGUGGAGUCAGAGGUGCCACCAUGA